rnacentral:rRNA from 1 species
GGGGGAAUAUUGCACAAUGGGCGCAAGCCUGAUGCAGCCAUGCCGCGUGUAUGAAGAAGGCCUUCGGGUUGUAAAGUACUUUCAGCGGGGAGGAAGGUGUUGUGGUUAAUAACCACAGCAAUUGACGUUACCCGCAGAAGAAGCACCGGCUAACUCCGUGCCAGCAGCCGCGGUAAUACGGAGGGUGCAAGCGUUAAUCGGAAUUACUGGGCGUAAAGCGCACGCAGGCGGUCUGUCAAGUCGGAUGUGAAAUCCCCGGGCUCAACCUGGGAACUGCAUCCGAAACUGGCAGGCUUGAGUCUUGUAGAGGGGGGUAGAAUUCCAGGUGUAGCGGUGAAAUGCGUAGAGAUCUGGAGGAAUACCGGUGGCGAAGGCGGCCCCCUGGACAAAGACUGACGCUCAGGUGCGAAAGCGUGGGGAGCAAACA